rnacentral:rRNA from 1 species
AAAAACAUUUCUUAUACAAUAAUUAUAAGUAACUUCUGCUCCAUGUAUAUACAAAUAGCCGCAGAAUUAUAACUGUGCUAAGGUAGCAUAAUCAUUUACCUUUUAAUUAAAGGUCUGUAUGAAAGAAUACACAUUUAAAUUACUUUUUUAUUUAAAAUUUAUUAAAUUUUAAUUAAAAAUAAAAAUGUUUUUAUAAAAAAGAAAGACGAUAAGACCCUAAUGAACUUUACUACAGUUAAGCUGGGGAAGCUAAUUAAAUAUAAUUUUAAUUUAGGUACAAAAAAAUCUAAUAGCAUUAAAUUCAAACAAGUUACCGUAGGGAUAACAGCGUAAUAUAUUUUUAAAGCUCUUAUUAAAAAAAAAGCUUACGACCUCGAUGUUGAAUU